rnacentral:lncRNA from 1 species
AAUGGAAAAAUAGAAGCCUAUUUCCACAAAAUAUUGUUAAAUAGUUUAAUUGCUCUGGACUGCCUUCGUUCUUUUUUUUUUGUAUGAAGUGUGUGUGUGUGUGUGUGUGUGUGUGAACAGGAAAAGAGAGAAGACAGGGAAGAUGCUAUUUGCUUAAGCAACCGUGAGCACUCUGCUAUUCCCACAAAACAACAUGCUGAUUUCCUGGAUCAGAAAAUAGAACUCCCUGGAAAGUGCUCAUCACAGAAGUGACCUGCAAUUAAGACUUCUCCCAACUAUAAAUGUCAGCUGUUCUGAGAAAUCACCUCUGGACCCCUCAAAAUUUUUGCUAAUAAAGCACUUACAGUUAAAGAGGAAAUAACUACC